GCGGAGGAAAAGAAACUAACAAGGAUUCCCUUAGUAACGGCGAGUGAACCGGGAAGAGCUCAAAUUUGAAAUCUGGCUGUCUUCGAUAGUCCGAGUUGUAAUCUAUAGAAGCGUUUUCCGUGCUGAACUGUGUCUAAGUCCUCUGGAACGAGGUAUCAAAGAGGGUGACAAUCCCGUACUUGACACAAUCAUCAGUGCUCUGUGAUACGUUCUCUACGAGUCGAGUUGUUUGGGAAUGCAGCUCAAAAUGGGUGGUAAAUUCCAUCUAAAGCUAAAUAUUGGCGAGAGACCGAUAGCGAACAAGUACCGUGAGGGAAAGAUGAAAAGCACUUUGGAAAGAGAGUUAAACAGUACGUGAAAUUGUUAAAAGGGAAACGAUUGAAGUCAGUCGUGUUUAUUGGAUUCAGCCGGUCUUCGGUGUACUUCCUUUAAACGGGUCAACAUCAGUUUUGUUCGGUGGAUAAAGGCAGUAGGAAUGUGGCUCCCUCGGGAGUGUUAUAGCCUAUUGUCACAUACACUGGAGGAGACUGAGGACUGCAGCUCGCCUUUUUGGCCGGGGUUCGCCCACGUUCGAGCUUAGGAUGUUGACAUAAUGGCUUUAAACGACCCGUCUUGA
rnacentral:rRNA from 1 species